rnacentral:rRNA from 1 species
UACGUAGGUGGCAAGCGUUGUCCGGAUUUACUGGGCGUAAAGAGCGCGCAGGCGGUCGAGUAAGUCGAAUGUGAAAGCCCCCGGCUUAACUGGGGAGGGUCAUUCGAUACUGUUCGACUUGAAGGCAGGAGAGGGGAGCAGAAUUCCCGGUGUAGUGGUGAAAUGCGUAGAUAUCGAGAGGAACACCUGCGGCGAAGGCGGGUUGCUGGGCUGACACUGACGCUGAUGCGCGAAAGCUAGGGGAGCGAACGGG